rnacentral:rRNA from 1 species
GACGAACGCUGGCGGCGUGCUUAACACAUGCAAGUCGAACGGUAAGGCCCUGCUUCUGUGGGGUGUUCGAGUGGCGAACGGGUGGGUAACACGUGAGUAACCUACCCUCGACUUUGGGAUAACUACAGGUAACUGGGGCUAAUACCGGAUCGGAACUCCGCCUGCAUGGUGGGGGGUGGAUAGGUGCGUCGGGUGGGGAUCGACUCGCGGCUUAUCUGCUUGUUGGUGGGGUAGUGGCUUACCCAGGCUUUGACGGGUCGCCGGCCUGAGAGGGUGACCAGCCACAUUGGGACUGAGAGACGGCCCAGACGCCUACGGGAGGCAGCAGUGGGGAAUAUUGCACAAUGGGCGGAAGCCUGAUGCAGCAACGCCGCGUGCGGGAUGACGGCCUUCGGGUUGUAAACCGCUUUCGCCUGUGACGAAGCGUGAGUGACGGUAAUGGGUAAAGAAGCACCGGCUAACUACGUG